rnacentral:snRNA from 1 species
AGAUAUGACAGAGAUAUGGCUGUGACAUCUGUUCCCUUAUUGAUUGCCAGGAUUGAUUCAGAUGAUCUGGAUGGCUAGACAGGGAUGUUCCAUUCCUCCCUUCCAAGGCUGUGUGCCUUCAGCUGAUAAAGGUAAACUUCCCCUAUACAGAAGGACUGGUUUUUGGUAAAGGGUAAAUAUUAGUAUCUGCAACUCUUGCCAGAUCCUCAAGCAAGCUCUCAAAAGGUAUUGCUUAUGUGAACUUCAUGAUAACCACAAAGCAAACAUAUAAUAUGCAAAGGAAUA